rnacentral:rRNA from 1 species
AGUGAACGCUGGCGGCGUGCCUAACACAUGCAAGUCGAACGAUGAAGAGCAGCUUGCUGCUCGGAUUAGUGGCGCACGGGUGAGUAACGCAUAGGUAAUGUGCCCCUUAGUCUGGGAUAGCCACUGGAAACGGUGAUUAAUACUAGAUACUCCUUCUUAUCAUAAGGUAAGUCGGGAAAGUUUUUCGCUAAGGGAUCAGCCUAUGUUCCAUCAGGUAGUUGGGGAGGUAACGGCUCACCAAGCCAAUGACGGAUAUCUGGUUUGAGAGGAUGAGCAGACACACUGGAGCUGAGACACAGUCCAGACUCCUACGGGAGGCAGCAGUGAGGAAUAUUGCAAAAUGGAGGAAACUCUGAUGCAGCAACGCCGCGUGGAGGAUGACGCAUUUCGGUGUGUAAACUCCUUUUAAGAGGGAAGAUAAUGACGGUACCUCUUGAAUAAGCACCGGCUAACUCCGUGCCAGCCGCCGCAGUAA